GCUAUACUCUCUCCGUCCAACAAAAAACGAAUCUAGACUGGAUGUGACACAUUCUAGUACAACAAAUCUAGACAGAGAUAUGUCCAAAUUCGUUGUACUAGGAUAUGUCACAUCCAAAACUAGGUUGGUUUUUUAUGGGUCGAAGGGAGU
rnacentral:misc_RNA from 1 species